rnacentral:rRNA from 1 species
AGCUUCAAACCCAACUACACCCCUAACUUCUAUAACCCCCACCCCACGGGACCCUGUAUAGUUGGUUUUAGGUUGGGGCAACCACGGAGCACAACAAAGCCUCCACAAUGAAUGGGACCACCCCCCCUUAUCUAAGAGCCACACCCCUAGGAAUUAAAACAUUAAUAUAAAAUGAUCCAUUAUUUGAUCAAUGAACCAAGUUACCCUGGGGAUAACAGCGCAAUCCAUUUCAAGAGCCCCUAUCGACAAAUGGGUUUACGACCUCGAUGUUGGAUCAGGGUGUCCUGGUGGUGCAGCAGCUACUAAUGGUUCGUUUGUUCAACGAUUAAAACCCU